UGCAUGCAACGAGUUUUUUUUCCUGGGUCGAGAGGCCCGGGUAAUCUGUUGAACGUGCAUCGUGAUAGGGAUAGAUCAUUGCAAUUAUUGAUCUUGAACGAGGAAUUCCUAGUAAACGCGAGUCAUCAGCUCGCAUUGAUUACGUCCCUGCCCUUUGUACACACCGCCCGUCGCACCUACCGAUUGAAUCAUUCGGUGAGGAUUCCGGAUUCCGUUGCUUACGCUUCACGGCGUUUUUGAUGAAAAAAGUUAUCCAAACCUCAUGAUUUAGAGGAAGGUGAAGUCGUAACAAGGUUUCCGUAGGUGAACCUGCGGAAGGAUCA
rnacentral:rRNA from 1 species